GCCGAACCGUGCGAGCGUUGUUCGGAAUCACUGGGCUUAAAGGGUGCGUAGGCGGGUUGUCCAGUCUGGGGUGAAAUCCCACGGCUCAACCGUGGAAUUGCCUCAGAUACUGACGACCUCGAGGGAGGUAGGGGCGAGCGGAACUGUGGGUGGAGCGGUGAAAUGCGUUGAUAUCCACAGGAACUCCGGUGGCGAAGGCGGCUCGCUGGACCUCUUCUGACGCUGAGGCACGAAAGCUAGGGGAGAAAACGGG
rnacentral:rRNA from 1 species